rnacentral:rRNA from 1 species
CAGCCGCCGCGGUAAUACGUAGGUCCCGAGCGUUGUCCGGAUUUAUUGGGCGUAAAGCGAGCGCAGGCGGUUAGAUAGGUCUGAAGUUAAAGGCUGUGGCUUAACCAUAGUACGCUUUGGAAACUGUUUAACUUGAGUGCAAGAGGGGAGAGUGGAAUUCCAUGUGUAGCGGUGAAAUGCGUAGAUAUAUGGAGGAACACCGGUGGCGAAAGCGGCUCUCUGGCUUGUAACUGACGCUGAGGCUCGAAAGCGUGGGGCGCAAACAGGAUUAGAUACCCCAGUAGUCCCUGUCUCUUAUACC